rnacentral:rRNA from 1 species
CGGACGGGUGAGUAAUGUCUGGGAAACUGCCUGAUGGAGGGGGAUAACUACUGGAAACGGUAACUAAUACCGCAUAACGUCUUCGGACCAAAGUGGGGGACCUUCGGGCCUCACGCCAUCGGAUGUGCCCAGAUGGGAUUAGCUAGUAGGUGGGGUAAUGGCUCACCUAGGCGACGAUCCCUAGCUGGUCUGAGAGGAUGACCAGCCACACUGGAACUGAGACACGGUCCAG